rnacentral:rRNA from 1 species
CACGUAGGGCGCAAGCGUUGUCCGGAAUUAUUGGGCGUAAAGAGCUCGUAGGUGGUUUGUUACGUCUGCUGUGAAAACCUAGGGCUUAACCCUGGGCUUGCAGUGGAUACGGGCAGACUAGAGGUAGGUAGGGGAGAAUGGAAUUCCCGGUGUAGCGGUGAAAUGCGCAGAUAUCGGGAAGAACACCGGUGGCGAAGGCGGCUCUCUGGACCUGUCCUGACGCUCAGGCGCGAAAGCUAGGGGAGCGAACAGG